rnacentral:lncRNA from 1 species
AUGUCUGCUCCCUACCUGUGAGAGAUGCUAGGAAACGCUUCCUUGGGGAAGUAACCACGUGGGAAGCUAUGAACACGGAGAAUGGUACAGACCCUUACAAAACCCCAAAAGUGAGGAGAGCAUGAGGAGGAGAGUGCAAGAAUAAGUGUGACGCAGUUUCUGUUUCCCCUCACGGCAGAGUGAGGUGAGCCAUGGCAAGGACACCUGUCUGGAGCAGCAGUGGAAAACCCCAGCGCCAUGCCACCGAGCUGAUCACUGUGGCAUCUCUGCUCCUCUCCUCCGUGAGCUGCCCUUAGGAAAGAUGGAAGAAAAGCAGGCCCUCGGCAAAGGAGAUGGGAGGGGUCCCAGAAGAUGUCUACAUGGGGGUUUCCUGGGUUGCCUGAUCUUGAUGACUAGCCAAGGUUCAGUGUCUGGAUUUCAGCCUUG